AUUGAACGCUGGCGGCAGGCCUAACACACGCAAGUCGAGCGGCAGCGGGAAAGUAGCUUGCUACUUUUGCCGGCGAGCGGCGGACGGGUGAGUAAUGCCUGGGGAUCUGCCCAGUCGAGGGGGAUAACUACUGGAAACGGUAGCUAAUACCGCAUACGCCCUACGGGGGAAAGCAGGGGACCUUCGGGCCUUGCGCGAGUGGAUGAACCCAGGUGGGAUUAGCUAGUUGGUGAGGUAAUGGCUCACCAAGGCGACGAUCCCUAGCUGGUCUGAGAGGAUGAUCAGCCACACUGGAACUGAGACACGGUCCAGACUCCUACGGGAGGCAGCAGUGGGGAAUAUUGCACAAUGGGGGAAACCCUGAUGCAGCCAUGCCGCGUGUGUGAAGAAGGCCUUCGGGUUGUAAAGCACUUUCAGCGAGGAGGAAAGGUUGGUAGCUAAUAACUGCCAGCUGUGACGUUACUCGCAGAAGAAGCACCGGCUAACUCCGUGCCAGCAGCCGCAGUAAGAC
rnacentral:rRNA from 1 species